UGGGGAAUAUUGCGCAAUGGGCGCAAGCCUGAACGAGCAAUGCCGCGUGAACGAGGAAGGUCUUCGGAUCGUAAAGUUCUGUUGAGAGGGAAAAAGGGUCACCAGAGGAAAUGCUGGUGAAGUGAUAUUACCUUUCGAGGAAGUCACGGCUAACUACGUGCCAGCAGCCGCGGUAAUACGUAGGUGGCGAGCGUUAUCCGGAAUGAUUGGGCGUAAAGGGUGCGUAGGCGGCCUGUUAAGUCUGAAGUGAAAGGUACCGGCUCAACCGGUAUAGGCUUUGGAAACUGGCAGGCUGGAGGACAGGAGAGGGCGGUGGAACUCCAUGUGUAGCAGUAAAAUGCGUAGAUAUAUGGAAGAACACCAGUGGCGAAGGCGGCCGCCUGGCCUGUUACUGACGCUGAGGCACGAAAGCGUGGGGGAGCAAAUAGGAUUAGAUACC
rnacentral:rRNA from 1 species